UACGUAGGGCGCAAGCGUUGUCCGGAAUUAUUGGGCGUAAAGAGCUCGUAGGCGGCCAGUUGCGUCUGCUGUGAAAUCCCGGGGCUCAACCCCGGGCUUGCAGUGGAUACGGGCUGGCUAGAGGUAGGUAGGGGAGAACGGAAUUCCUGGUGUAGCGGUGAAAUGCGCAGAUAUCAGGAGGAACACCGGUGGCGAAGGCGGGUCUCUGGGCCGGAACUGACGCUGAGGAGCGAAAGCGUGGGGAGCGAACAGG
rnacentral:rRNA from 1 species